GCUGGCAGGCAGUUGUUACAAAAGCCUGCAGCCCACAAAUACACUUAACACUGUUGGGAAACAGGCCAGAGCGGAAAGAAAGAACAAAAACAAUACCAACAAACCAAUUCACCUCUAAUGGAGAACUGAAGUGGGAUGCUGUGGUGACUGGAGAUGAACCAGGAGCCAGGACACAGGACACGAACACGGAGACACGUGGCCCGGCAUAACGGUGUCUGGGCUGUUCCAGGCCUAAAUAGAGUCAGGUCACAGGGCAGGGUCACAGGAAGCUCCCAGUCUUAGGCACUGGACUGACAGAUUCAGUAACCUAUAGGCCAAGUGCCCACACCUGUCUCCAGGGAUUCAG